UACGAAGGGGGCUAGCGUUGUUCGGAUUUACUGGGCGUAAAGCGCACGUAGGCGGAUCGUUAAGUCGGGGGUGAAAUCCUGGAGCUCAACUCCAGAACUGCCUUCGAUACUGGCGAUCUUGAGUCCGGAAGAGGUGAGUGGAGCUGCGAGUGUAGAGGUGAAAUUCGUAGAUAUUCGCAAGAACACCAGUGGCGAAGGCGGCUCACUGGCCCGGUACUGACGCUGAGGUGCGAAAGCGUGGGGAGCAACAGGG
rnacentral:rRNA from 1 species